CUAUAGUAUAACAAGUAUAAAUGUUUCCGUUUCGUAUAGUCUAAUAAGUCUAUAAAUGUAUUGUUUGAUGAUAAAAUGCCCUAAGUUAUAGGCUUAUAGGAUAUUAGGAUAUAGGUUUAUCAGCUUUGGAAGUGUAAUAGUCCCUAUCAUGAACAUCGCGAAUAACUAUGUCGAUUGCAUAUGUCUGAUGCAAACAUAUUGAGCUAUAGCCUAAACUCUACGUGGCCAACGCUCGAGCCUCAAAUUUUGCUAUUUUAUCUCCUAGACCUAGUAUACCUUUAAAAGUAGACAAACAUUUCAUGUGUAUGUGGCGUUCGGAAAUAUUCCAUAAAUUGCUACGAUUUGGGAUUUCGCGAUUGAAAGCGAAAUGAUUUGUGCGAUGUCGCCAUGUCGGGCUAUUUGCCAACCGUGCGCGCUAGCCGCUGUUAUUUUGACAGAAUAUGAUACCUCUACACUUUUCAGCCGUAAUCAAUAAUGCGCGGAUUGUAAUCAUAUACAUAUCGUUUAAUUUAGCUUCAAAAACUUAUUUUGUUAAAUGUAAAAUGCGCAGCAUGUUGCGUAGAUUAAUAUCAAAGAAAAAAGGUUGACUUUAUUAGACUGAAAUCAGCAAGAUUUCCCGUUACAUACAUGAUUUAUACCGAGGCGGCUUUGCAUGUGCUCUGCCUCUGGCAACUAUGACACCAUUGCACUCCGCGGGAACCAACACGAAUAACAUGUUUUUUUAUCAAGUUUUUGAAGCUAAAUUAAACGAUAUGUGUAUGAUACGAUUACAAUGCGCGCUGAAAAUUACGGUUGAAAAGUGUAGAGGUAUCAUAUUCUGUCGAAAUAACAGCAGUUAGCGCGCUCGGUUGGCAAUUAGCCCGACAUCGCACAAAUCAUUUCGGUUUUCAAUCGGGAAAUCCCAAAUCGUAGCAAUUUAUGGAAUAUUUCCGAACGCCACAUACACAUCACACAUGAAAUGUUUGUCGACCUUUAAGGGCCACGAACAUAUACUAGCUAGGUCUGGGAGAUAAAAUAGCAAAAUUUGACGCUCGAGCGUUGGCCACUAAUUAUACAGGCACUGCAGCGUAAAAUUUAUAGCUCAAUAGACAAUAUGUUUGUAUCAGACAUAUGCAAUCGACAUAGUUAUUCGCGACGUUCAUGAUAGGGACUAUAACACUUCCAAAGCUAACUGAUAAACCUAUAUCCUAUAACUAAUUAAGACAUUUUAUCAUCAACUUAUAUUCUAUAGGCUUAUUCACCAUACGAAACGGAAACAAAAUCAAACAUUUACUUGUUAUACUAUAGAUAACAGCAAGAUAAGAAAUUAUUUUAUUACUGGAGAUUUGUUCCGUUAAAUUUUCCUGUAUUUAUCUAAUGCAUAAAUGGAAAAAGUACGAAAAAAUAUUAAAAAGAAAAAUAAUAUCUUCGUGAAAAAAUGCGUUUUUAGCACAUUUUAUGACCCACGACUUUACCCACGACUUUACCCACGACACACGACUUUUAACCCACGACACGCGACACACGACAUAUAGGGACACUCGAAUAUUUAGGACGAUAUAUGCACCAGAUUGCACCAGACACCGGUAUUGUACUUCAUAGUAAAUUAUUUCAUAUUUUGUGUAUUACAGUAAUUCACAGCAGGUACAUUAAUUUAUAAACUUUAUAAAGACCUUUCAUUCCCAUUGCCCAUUCAGUGCUUUAUAUUUGAAGAAUAACCCGACAGCUUCUUUGGACUUGUAUUAUGCUGCUGUGAGUCAUCAAUAUUUAAAUCAACUUUAAAUAAUCUUUAUCGUAAACUCUAUAAAUGACAUUUUAGCAGUUUCACCAAACCAUACUAGAGGCGAACAACCUAU